rnacentral:rRNA from 1 species
UUCCAGACUCCUACGGGAGGCAGCAGUGGGGAAUAUUGCACAAUGGGGGAAACCCUGAUACAGCGACGCCGCGUGAGCGAGGAAGUAUUUCGGUAUGUAAAGCUCUGUCAGCAGGGAAGAAGAAUGACGGUACCUGAAGAAGAAGCACCGGCUAAAUACGUGCCAGCAGCCGCGGUAAUACGUAUGGUGCAAGCGUUAUCCGGAUUUACUGGGUGUAAAGGGAGCGCAGGCGGUUCUGCAAGUCUGAUGUGAAAGCCCGGGGCUCAACCGCGGGACUGCAUUGGAAACUGCAGGACUGGAGUGUCGGAGGGGUAAGCGGAAUUCCUGGUGUAGCGGUGAAAUGCGUAGAUAUCAGGAGGAACACCGGUGGCGAAGGCGGCUUACUGGACGAUGACUGACGCUGAGGCUCGAAAGCGUGGGGAGCAAACAGGAUUAGAUACCCCGGUAACC